rnacentral:lncRNA from 1 species
UUCCUGGUCAUUGGAUUGUCGGAGGGAUACUGACAAUGCUUAGACCAGUACAUGUUGUGUCCGCUUCAAUUGGAAGGAUGGAAAGUCUCAACCCAUUCGUGUUGUGACACUAAGACAAGUAUGUAGGUGCUCAUUAAGGGAAUGAGUUCACUGAAUACAAUCGAAUCAGAGUACUUGCAUGGAGGUCUACACACAUGUCAAGCAAGUAACUCAAAUGGUUGGAAUAAUGUAAGUAAUCCUUUGACCUGAGGCAUCGUCGUUGUCUUGUGGCUAAGUACUUAAUCUUUGAUUAUGUCAAAG